UCUAAGUCAAGCUUUUUGGUAGAAACACUGAGGCAACCUCAUCUCUCAUCGACGCCAUGUUUCUUUCCCAAUCAUGAAGUCUUGUUCAAGCUUGCUACUCAGAUGUAGUGAUUGCUACUUCUACAGGUACUCCUACUGUAAAGAAAUGAUUUAGGGUAUUUAACCACUUUGUUGUAAUUUCGUAUCCAUUUCACAUUUUAUCUGAUUUCUCUUCGAUGGGAUGAACCUCAAUCGAAGUUAAUAACACCAUCAGAAGAUAAUCAAAUUUCAUGCGAAAAAGCUACAAAAUGACACUCUAUUUGCUGCAAUUAUUUUUCUCGAACUUUAGAUAACUUGUAUAUAGGCUCCAGCUUUGUGUUGUUUCUUGUGUGUUGAUCCCUUUAACCUUCUGAAUUAUCCCUCUCUCUCUGCGAUUAUAUCUAUAAUUUAGCUCUGUUAAGGAGGAUCCUAUCUCUUUUUGUUUGUAAAUCUUAGAUAUGGAAUUUGUCUUUUAUCUUCAAAUAAAAUUUGUUGUGCUUUGUGUGGUUGUUUCUUAUGGUUGUGGCAUGUCACUGUACCUGCAAAAUGAACAAACUUGUUAGCUAAAAAUCCGCAAGUUGAUUUUCUUCUCUGUAGUUGUGCUUGAUCUAUACUUCCCCUUUAUUUCUCCAAUAUUUAAUCAACUCAACCCCCAUAUUGCUUGUCCAUAGAUAGUCCAGUCCUUAUUGACUACCUUCUGCACAGUUAAUGAAUCAGUCUUCACUAUAAAUGGUAGCAUUCUAUUUUCCACACAAUGUUGCAGCCCCUUCUGAAUUACUAAAGUCUCAUCCUUCAAACAAGUAGUAUAGGGAAUGCACUUAGACUCUACAUAGACUAAAUCACCUAGACAAUUCCUUACACAAAAUGCAAUUGUGCUGUAAUCUAUGUUGUCUCUUAAUGAGGCAUCAGUAUUGCAUUUGUAGUAACCUCUAGGUGGUAAAUCCCAACUUACAACCUGGCAAUUCCUUCUCCCAACAUCCCUAUUGUUCUCCAGUUUAUCAUUCAACAAUGGCCAACUACUAGGGAGUUCUGUUAUUGUAGGGAACUUGACUUUUGCAAAAAGGUACAAAUUCUGAUUAUUAUCAUGAAUUACCCUAUGCCUAGACAUACUUCCUCAAUGUAAAAAACAAUUUCUUCUCUUCCAUAAUUACCACAAAAUAAAAGUUGGGGCUGCCUGUACAAUGAUUUAAUCCUAGGUGAACUUUCUGCUUGGCACCACAUAUUUAUUGACUGAUUAAUAUGAAUAAAAUUCCCUUGAAUGUCUGCUGCAUUUGCAUAAAUUCUCCAUAUGUUAGAAGCAAAUUCCCCAGUAGGAAAAAGAUGCUCCAUAGUCUCUAUUUCACAAUAUUUACACCUGGAAGCCAUAUGCACUCCAUUUCUAGGCUAAACAUCAUCUAUUGUUACCUUUUCCAUCCAAAUUCUCUAUGUAAAAAAGAAAUUUUAAAUGGCAUACUUGAUUGCCACAAUUGUUUGAAAAGCCAGUGCUCCCCCUCCUUAUGUAUUGUGAAUUUCCAAGAACUUUUAACAGUAAGUAAAUUUACCAUUAUUAGUUAGCAACCACCAAGCUUUAUCCCUUACUUUCGAGUGGAUUAUUCUUGGAUAUUCCUUCAAAAUCUGGUUAUCCAACUGCAUUGGUAGUUGUUGUUUGAGCAAGUCAACAUUCCAUGCUUCAUUCAUGUAAAACUGCCUCACCUUUGGACUGUAUGAAUUCUGUCCUGACGGUACAAGCUGAUACAAAGGACCCAAUUUAGUCCUGUUAUCAUACCAAAAGCUUGUUGUACCAUUCUUGGAUUCUCACCAGAUCAGAUGUUCUAUUUCAUCCCUAGCUUCCAACAUCUUCUUCCACAAUUGUGAUCCCCUUUUCCAUGUGACCAUAGUAGGAAUUUUCUUCUUACAAUACUUGUUCCACAUAAAUGUGGACCAUAAAGAACAACCUGUCCUAAAGUUCCACCACAAUUUGGCAAAUAAAGCAUUCGAGAUUUCAAAUAAAAAUCUAAAACUCAUUCCCCCUUCUGUUUUAGGUAAACACAUCUUUAACCAGGCUCUCCAAUGUCUAUAUUUUCCUUCUUCCUUAUUACUCCAGAAAAACCUAGCAAAUGUCCUAUGUAUCUCAAGAAUAGUAUAUUUGGUAUGUUCCAUGACAGAUAAUAGAUAAAGAGGAAUGCUUUGUAAAACUUGUUGGAUAAGAAUAGCCUUUCCACCAUAUGAUAACAACUUUCUUUUCCAAUGUCGUAGGUGAUCUUUUAUGUUAAAAGAUACAUUAUGAUGGUGUAACGCCCUAAAAUCGGGUCUCGAGAUGUCACACGGUGCUUAAGGUCACAAGUGACCCCAAGCUAACCUUUCUACUGGCAUAACUCAUAAGCAAUUGAAUAAAAAUACAAAUCCAUACAAAUCAGCAAAAAUUAACUCUUUUCUGAAUCUGAUCGAUACAAAAAUGGAAUUUUACAGGAUUACAAUUCUGCCUUUACAACCAAAAUUGAAACAAAAUACAUUAACUUCUACUGACUAUCUAUGAAGCCUCUACUAGUACUGACUGUAGGUAGCCGAGUCAUGACUCCCGACUACCUCAACUCAAUACGACUGAAUAAAGAAAAUACAACACUAUAAACUCUGCAUAACUAACCUAAGCCCUUGAAUCAAAAGAACUCAUCACCUGCUGACUGGAUACCUCGAACUGACUGGAUCUGAAGGUACAACUAUACCUUGUACCUACAUUCCGAGAAAAUGUAUAUGCAUGCUGAUAUAGAUGACUCACUUAGCUCGAAUUAAAUCAUCAAAAUCAUGGAUGAAUAAUACAUGUAAAGUAAAACAAGUGAGUCAUUACAAUACGUUCUCAAUUCACUUUCAUCUCAAUUUCAAAUCAUCAAAACAAUCAAAUCUUAUGUCAAUUCUCAUUAGAAUAUAUUCCUUAAAUCUUUUAAGAAUAAUGACUUUCUCAAACUCAGCCUUUUAAGCAAAUAUGUUUUCAUCUCAGAUAGAAGAGUAAACAUACACACAUUGGGAGAUCCUAUAACCGACAUAAACUAUGUGAGCAACAUGGAGUCCAACGUACAACCCACGUUGGGGAGAGUCAUCCUAUCCUGGCCAUCGGAGUAGGACUUCCAGUAUCAAUUCAAAAACACUAGUGAUCACUAUAUAAAUCAGCCCCAGGCUCACAUCCUAUGGGGGCACGUAGUUCUAGGAAAGUAAGGUCACUUUAUACCUCCCACUCGGUGCUAAAGAUUACUCUCAGACUUAGCUCAGAAAUUUAAAUUAGUCUCAGGCUCACAUUAAAGAAAAUCCACAAUAAACACUUCAAUAAUUUUCAUUGGUAGCCAAUUUGCUACCCCUUUAUCAGAAUCAAUAAAAACGUGGAUUUCUUUCACAAUCGAGUUCAAAUAACUCAUUCAUGACCAAAAGGUCAAAUCAUUCAAAAUAUCUCAAAUAUUCAACAUCAACGUGCUUAUAACACACACUUUCUCAAAAAAACACAAUUUCCAAUGGAGAUUCACGACCCAAAUAUCAAAAUCAUGAUAAAUAUCGUUUNNNNNNNNNNNNNNNNNNNNNNNNNNNNNNNNNNNNNNNNNNNNNNNNNNNNNNNNNNNNNNNNNNNNNNNNNNNNNNNNNNNNNNNAAUUUGUAAAAAUCAAAUAAAAAUCAUGCCUUUGUAAAGAAAAUUACUUUUGGGCAUAAGAACGAAAGAGAGUUCUUGUUGAAAAACUCCACAUACCUUGAAUGAUGAACUUUAGAUCGAUACUCAUUUUUUAUAUUUUAAUCGUGCCUUUGAAUGAUGGUUCUUGGAGUUCUUGAACUAGGAACUUGGAAUCUUGAAUAAAUUUGUAGAAUUAAUGGUGAACUUUGGAGGUUCUUGAAGUUGGAUGUAGGAGCUUAGGGUUUUCUUUUUGAGGGAAUUUGAUGAAAUAUAACAUAUAAUGCUUCUAAUAGGCCUUAAUAUAGGAUUUGGAUGAAUUUUGGGUGAGGGAGAAUGACCAAAACACCCCUAAAAAUCAAAUAAUUCUUGCAUCUGUCCUUUGGUGGAUUGUUUUGAUAGUCUGAAGUAGAUCAACCAUAAUAUUUUACUCCGAUAUCCAAAUUGGAUGAAACCAAUUUCAUUAGAAAUAGGACUCUCGUAUCUUUCCGUUGAUAUAUAGUAUCUCACCCAGAUCAUUGUGUACGAGGAGUUAUGAUCGUUUGAAGUUGACCCAAAAAUUUACUUUUGAUAGGCUGAAGUAGAUCGACCAUAAUUUUUUGCUCUGAUAGACAAAUUGGAUGAAACUAAUUUCAGUGGAAAGAGGACUCGUAGAGCUUUCCGUUGAUAUAUAGUAGAUCAACCAGAUCAUUAUGUACAAGGAGUUAUGAUCGUUUAAAUUUGGAGCAAAAAUACGCCAGGCCUCAGUACUUUUUUUUCCUGCACGUUUUACUGUUCAUAGUUCGAUCGGAAUGGUCGUAGUUCGAUCGGAUUGGUCGUAACUCAUCGCUCGAGUGUCCGUUUUUGAUGAUCUACAUAUUGUUGGAAAGAUUAUUUGAUACUCUACGCAAUGGUAGGUCAACAUCUUAGAAAUACUACACAAAAAAUUUAUGGAUCACUCUAAAGCGUAGAUCUCGAUACGUUUCUCACGAAAUCUUUACAAAGAAAAUUUUCUGGGGUAUUACAGAUGGUGUACCAACCCUACUAUAAUUAAUUGACCUUGUAUUUACUGCCCAUAUUCUAAAAGUGUGUCAAAGUGUCACAUGUUUCUCUUAUAUGAGUCAAUAAGAUCCAAGAUUAUACAAGUUAAGAGUGUCACAUGCUAGAUUACAAUCUAUCCAAAAUUUCUUUAAUUGGUCAUAUACUUCUUUUGGCUACACAUGUUCUUUUUUUUUAAUAUCAUUCCAAUCGUGUUUGGGCAUAAGGUGAUCUUAUAGAGUCUGCCUAUUUAGUAUAAAGUUUAUAUAUCCUUAUGUGGGAUAUAUAUUUAUUCCUAAUUAGAAUCUGCCCACGUGCUUCAAUAGUACCCAUUCUCACGUACCCUUCUAUUUGUUAUUACCUAGUAAGUAUUUAUUGUAUAGUCCAAACCUCUUUAGUUAAGGAGUUACUUAUCUCAACUUGGUAUGCACAUAUUCCUCCAUUUGAAAUAUCUAAAUUUCUACACUUAAAUAUGCCCCAAUUGCUAUACGCUAGGUAAGAUCACUAGAAUCUACCACAACCCAUAUAUGCUAUGUUAUGUCACUUUCUUAUUAGUUAUACACCUUACUAGCUUAUUUGUUGCAUGUCAUCAUCUCCCUGCUUAUCACAUGCCUUCUUGGCUCAUUAGUUAAUAUAUUUUAUGUCCAGUGAGGCUUAUGGUGUCAUAUAAGUUCCAAAGUAUUACCCUUAUUUCCUAUAUCAUUGUUUUUGUCUCGAUCAUAUGCCUUCUUCUAUUGGUUCAUGUCUCUAAAGCUCAAUAAUGUUAUGACAACCAAAAUAACAAUCUAAAAGAUUAAAGAAGUGAUGUAAAGUAAAUAUACUUAUGUAUGAGUGGUAGCUCAGGGGCGAGAGCCUAGCAUAGGCCAAUCUCAAUUUAUUGAUUUAUGGGUGGUAUCCCAGGGGUGAAAGGAACACCUAGCAUGGGUCAAUCCUAUUAUCGGGUAGUAUCCCAUGGGUGAAAGAAAAGCCUAGCAUGGGUCAAUCCCAAUUUAUGUAUUGAUGAGGAACGUAUCCCAGGGGUAUAAUACCUAGCAUGGGCCAUCCUCUUUUACCAUUGAUCAACUAGACAUAUGUAUCACAUGCCUUAUAAAUAUUAUAAAGAAAAGAAGAGUAAAGUAAAGAAAAGCAUGUAAUGUACAGUUUUCCACAAGUGUAAGUAAAGGUGGUCGUUCAUCAUUUUCUAUAAAGUUUAUAUAUAUUGACCCCUAGUUUCAUUGAUUUUUUAUUUCACUUUAUGGUUAUCUCAUGCCUUACAUAUUCAGUACAUUACUUCGUAUUGACAUCCCUUACGUGGGACCAGUGUUCUAUGUUGCAGGCACAGGUUUUUAACGAGUAGAUCUCCCCAAUAAAACACAGGAUACUCAGCGGCUAUUGGUGAGCUCCAAGUUGAUUUGGGUCCUUUCUGAGUCUUUAGUAUAUAUAUUUUGAUGGUUUUACAGUAAUGGAUUCCAUUAAAGGCUUUGUAGACAUUGUAAAGUAGUCAUAUGUAUUCAUAGAUUCACAUGUCAUCUGAAUCAGUUUGGCUAAUUGGUUGGUGUUGUAUAUAUAGCAUUUUAUCAGCGAUUUCAUUUGUUUAAUGGUUCAUUUUCUCAUCUAGUUUAUUUUAA
rnacentral:lncRNA from 1 species